rnacentral:lncRNA from 1 species
AAACACGCCAGUCAUAGUACAGGUGAUGAAUAUCCCCUACUGCGUCAAAAUUGUAUAUUGAAUCCAAGUUUCUUGGGAGAUUUUCCUGAUGAUGAUGCCCCUUUUUAGAUACAAGAACUGCUUUGAGGGGCCGUGGGUGUCAUGUCACCAGCACAGGUAUCCGAUCAUGGUUCUCAGUUUGGUUGUGCUACUAGUUCAUGUCUUGUGAUGGUGAUGUAUGGUUAAUGGCACAAGCAGGUGGAUGCUUACAUUGCUUCUGACAUAAAGAAUAAAACAAACAUUGGUAAGUUUUCUCUUCGAGCAGCAGUGGAUGUGGAUGUGUGCAUUCAGAUGUUGGUAAGAAGAUUCUUCGUUUUCCUUUGAAUUCCAAAAGUUCGUGCUAGAAUAUAAGACAAUUUUUAUUCUAGUCACAUAAUAUAAUAAGGCGUGCUCUUUCUAGACAUGUAUAUACCAAAAUAGUAUAGAGAAUUAAAUACAUUUAUUGAGUUAGUUACGCCUUUUAUACUAUAAUGGAGGGAGAGAGAGAGAGAGUAUAUUUUAUGAAAUUUCUUGAACUUAGUGCUGGUUCUGGGAGUAGUUGCUUUAGUGAUACACGUGAACUUACGUCCUGUUUGGAUCCUUGGAAUUGAAUUCCAUUCUAAAAAUAGUAAUUUAAACAAAGAUCAAUUAAGCUAAUAUUGUUUUAUGUGAAAUAUAUUUGUACACUAUUAUUAGCAAUAUUUGUGAGGCCUAGAGACGUCCUGGGAGGCCUAGAGGUGUUUUGCCUCUUGCCGC